GUAAUUUCUGUCACAAGUCCGUGACGUCACAGAUGACAGAAAAACAACGCCGUAACGGCUCUAAUAGAUCUGUGACGUCACAGAUGAUAGAAACAACGCGGUAACUUCUGUCACAGGUUCGUGACGUCACAGAUGAUAGAAACAACGCCGUAAUUUCUGUCACAGGUCCGUGACGUCACAGAUGAUAGAAACAACGCCGUAAUUUCUGUCACAGGUCCGUGACGUCACAGAUGAUAGAAACAACGCCGUAAUUUCUGUCACAGGUCCGUGACGUCACAGAUGAUAGAAACAACGCCGUAAUUUCUGUCACAGGUCCGUGACGUCACAGAUGAUAGAAAAACAACGCCGUAACGUCUCUAAUAGAUCUGUGACGUCACAGAUGAUAGAAACAACGCCGUAAUUUCUGUCACAGGUCCGUGACGUCACAGAUGAUAGAAACAACGCCGUAAUUUCUGUCACAGGUCCGUGACGUCACAGAUGAUAGAAACAACGCCGUAACAUCUCUAAUAGAUCUGUGACGUCACAGAUGAUAGAAACAACGCCGUAAUUUCUGUCACAGGUCCGUGACGUCACAGAUGAUAGAAACAACGCCGGAAUUUCUGUCACAGGUCCGUGACGUCACAGAUGAUAGAAAAACAACGCCGUAACGUCUUUAAUGGAUCUGUGACGUCACAGAUGAUAGAAACAACGCCGUAAUUUCUGUCACAGGUCCGUGACGUCACAGAUGAUAGAAACAACGCCGGAAUUUCUGUCACAGGUCCGUGACGUCACAGAUGGUCGAAACAACGCCGUAAUUUCUGUCACAGGUCCGUGACGUCACAGAUGAUAGAAACAACGCCGUAAUUUCUGUCACAGGUCCGUGACGUCACAGAUGAUAGAAAAACAACGCCGUAACGUCUCUAAUAGAUCUGUGACGUCACAGAUAAUAGAAACAACGCCGUAACUUCUGUCACAGGUACGUGACGUCACAGAUGAUAGAAACAACACCAGGGUAUCUUAUUCCGUCAACUUACCAUUCCUAGAUAUUAACGUGAUUAUUUGAUAAACAGCAUGGACCAUGGGUCGUUUGCGUUAUUACGGAAAAAUCGGAGUAACCAUCAGCAUUUCUAUAAAGCUCGUCUCUAUGUACCCUAACAAAUUUUGCAAAAUAUGUAGUUCGUAUUAUGGUAGUUUACAGUGGAUCAACGUAAUUCCACACUCAUGGUGUCGAUACCAUCCAGUGACGUGGAGUAAUCAUUUUUCUUAUGUUCCUCUCUCUUAGGUAAUUAAUAGGUAUUUCAUAUCUCCUAGCAAGCACGCAUAAUUUCCUGUUUAUCUGUAGUGCCCAGCUUAUUUUUCUUAAUACAACGUAGAAUCGAAAAAUGACAACAUAUUUGCAUAAUCCUAGGGGCACCGCCAUAUGCCCGUGAACGUGUGUACGUAAAAAUGAGUGCGUAGAGUACAUCUACCGGCCCGUUACUAAAACAGGUAGUAGGACCCCGUAAUUUCCGAGUAAUCAGUGUUAGUCUGAUUCUACUGUAUAAUAUUUGUCUGACUUUAUUGUAUAUUCUUUGCUGUUUUUAUUGUAUGAUAUUUGUCUUAUUUUAAUAUAUACUAUUUGUCUAAUUUUUUGCAUGAUCUUUGUCUGAUCUUAUUAUAUAAUAUUAAACACAGGAGAAGCUAUAAAUAGACAUCAGAAUAGGAAUGCUUGUGAUUGAUCAUUUAUACGACACCUUCGAAUAAUCGCCUAAAGAGAAAAAGGUUACGUCAAACCUGUAUCUUUAUUGUAUAAGAGAAGCGACUGAGUAGCAACGACAUUCCAGUUGCGUUACGUCUGAUUUGCGAUCAGUACUCUACCAGACAUUCUUCUGUUUCAUGUCAAAUUAUGCGUCAUAAGCUGCGGAAAGAUUGUAAGAGAGACGUGUAAGAACUGUAUGAGAGUUUGUGAAAACGUUGCUUGAAAGAAGUCCAAUAUGUGUGUAAAAGUUGUGCGAGACUUAUGUGAAAGAUACGUACAACUUGUGAGAAAAUUCUGUAGAAGUUGUAGAAAAAGUUUAGUCCGAAGGUUGUGUCCGAGGUUGUGUCUGAAGGUUGUGUCCGAGGUUGUGUCCGAGGUUGUGUCUGAAGGUUGUGUCCGAGGUUGUGUCCGAGGUUGUGUCUGAAGGUUGUGUCCGAGGUUGUGUCCGAGGUUGUGUCUGAAGGUUGUGUCCGAGGUUGUGUCCGAGGUUGUGUCUGAAGGUUGUGUCCGAGGUUGUGUCCGAGGUUGUGUCUGAAGGUUGUGUCCGAGGUUGUGUCCGAGGUUGUGUCCGAGGUUGUGUCUGAAGGUUGUGUCCGAGGUUGUGUCCGAGGUUGUGUCUGAAGGUUGUGUCCGAGGUUGUGUCCGAGGUUGUGUCUGAAGGUUGUGUCCGAGGUUGUGUCCGAGGUUGUGUCUGAAGGUUGUGUCCGAGGUUGUGUCCGAGGUUGUGUCUGAAGGUUGUGUCCGAGGUUGUGUCCGAGGUUGUGUCUGAAGGUUGUGUCCGAG